rnacentral:rRNA from 1 species
UGGGGAAUAUUGGACAAUGGGCGAAAGCCUGAUCCAGCCAUGCCGCGUGUGUGAAGAAGGCCUUUUGGUUGUAAAGCAUUUUAAGUGGGGAGGAAAAGCUUAUGGUUAAUACCCAUAAGCCCUGACGUUACCCACAGAAUAAGCACCGGCUAACUCUGUGCCAGCAGCCGCGGUAAUACAGAGGGUGCAAGCGUUAAUCGGAAUUACUGGGCGUAAAGCGCGCGUAGGUGGUUAUUUAAGUCAGAUGUGAAAGCCCCGGGCUUAACCUGGGAACUGCAUCUGAUACUGGAUAACUAGAGUAGGUGAGAGGGGAGUAGAAUUCCAGGUGUAGCGGUGAAAUGCGUAGAGAUCUGGAGGAAUACCGAUGGCGAAGGCAGCUCCCUGGCAUCAUACUGACACUGAGGUGCGAAAGCGUGGGUAGCAAACAGGAUUAGAUACCCUGGUAGUCCACGCCGUAAACGAUGUCUACCAGUCGUUGGGUCUUUUAAAGACUUAGUGACGCAGUUAACGCAAUAAGUAGACCGCCUGGGGAGUACGGCCGCAAGGUUA